rnacentral:piRNA from 1 species
UGUGAGUUCUACAUGGCCUAUGCAGA